ACAUUCGUGUGCACAGGACAGAGAAGAGACUUGUUUUUUAUUGCAUUGCAACUACAACGAUUUUCCCGUGGCACAAACUCUCUGAGGCAAACUGUUCCAAGCCAAUUUCAUUAAAUGGUUCUCUGCAGUUGGCAGUUUGGCCUGAAGGAGGCAGUGUAGGGGAACUUUAUGCCAACCAUGAAUCAGAGCUGUGGAACUCCUGGCAGCUCUCAAUUCUAAACCACAGCCCUGAAGAAAACCACACUGGAAAGAUCAAGGAAGGCAAAAAGGUAUCCCGUGGGCUACUUUCACUCGUCUCCUGGUUUCAGUUUCAAAGGAAGCUGCUCUGCCCUUCGUUGGAAAGAGAUCUGGGAAUCAGGAAGAGAUCUCAGAACCACAGGUACAGGCAGAGUCUGAGUUGCUGCCCUUCCAAGUUUGCCCUCUGCACUAGUCGGCAAGGAAUGGAAAGUUUAAUUGAAAUUCAGUCAGGGCUGGCAAAGUGGAGAGGAAAUCUCAAUCUUCUCUCAGAGGUGUAAUAAUAUCUAUCGUGCAGAGCGGUGUGGAGUUCACAUAUACGACACCGCACCACCACCACCACCACCACCACCAGUGACUGAGGAGAUCGUGAAGGUCAUCUAUUCUCACAUCCAAUUUACUUGAAGAUUAAAUACUAUUUAAUUAUUGGAACAAUACUUUAAGUUCUUAAAAACAAAGAAUCUCACGUAGGUGUGUAAAUACAGCAAUUUCUGCAGGCUCAGUACACAGAGGAGACCUAGAGUCCCAAGGUUGUGAAUACUGGGCUUGACAUAGAGGUGCCAGAUGAUUCCCAGCAAUGCUGUAUUUCAUGUAUUGUUCAACCUGCUUAGCAUCCAUUACUGUAAAAUGGGGGUUUUGUCAAGGACCACACUGAGUAAUUGAAGAAUAAAUGAGAUGAUUAUGUAAAGCAGGUAGCACAGUGCUAGGCACCCAGUUGAUGCUCAGGAAAUAGCUGUUUUCCUCUUUCCAAGGAUGCAGGGUCAAAAGACACCCCCAAGAAGAAUAGAGGCAUUCGGGAGGGGAGUAUCAGAAAAAUUAAACUGAACAUUUUUUUGUGCAUUCAGCCGACUAUAGCUGGUGGUCAUUUCUGCAGCAUUACUAAGAAGAGCCAUAGAAAAUCAUGACACUAUUGGAGCAGAGUGACAUGCUGGCGUUUUUGUAUUUAUUUUAUAAUAUAUUGCUAUCCCGGUAUUAAUAACCCAUAGUUUAUUUAAAAACAGUGUUCAGAAUUCAGAAAAAAAAUGAAAAAUUAUUGAAACUAAAUACUGGGUAUGCUUUGCAUAUAAAAUGUAUAAACAUAUUACAUACAUGAAUGACACUUAAAUUUCAAAAACAUAAAUAUUAAACAUAUAUUAUCAUACUAAUUUGAAUUAACAGCAGGGGAAAAGUAAUAAAAAUAAGUAUAUACAAUAAGCUAAAUAUUGCAUUAAAUGAAGAAAAUCAGUCUUGAAAAUUAAAAAUGAAUUAAAUUAUUUGAUUUUUUUUUGCAAGUAUGAUCUUAAGAGCAAUGUAUAUCAAUGGUGUUACCUUUGAUAAUGAGCCGAGGGUUUGGGUAAAUUUUUCCAGCCACUAGAAAAGCUUUUGCAUAUUUUAUACUAGUUGGAAAAAUAGUGAUGAGCUAAAUAUAAACUAAGCCCAAAUGUCUUUCACUGAAUCUUUUAUCUACAAAUAAUCUCAUGUCUCAGUCAUAAUAUAAAGGAAAUCUUUUACAAGUUUUUAUUUUAUUAAAGACUUCCAUAUUUUUA